AACGAACGCUGGCGGCAGGCCUAACACAUGCAAGUCGAACGCAUCGCAAGAUGAGUGGCGCACGGGUGAGUAACACGUGGGAAUGUAUCCUUUGGUUCGGAAUAACGUCUGGAAACGGACGCUAAUACCGGAUGAGCCCUAUGGGGGAAAGAUUUAUCGCCGAAGGAGCAGCCCGCGUCUGAUUAGGUAGUUGGUGGGGUAAAGGCCUACCAAGCCGACGAUCAGUAGCUGGUCUGAGAGGAUGAUCAGCCACACUGGGACUGAGACACGGCCCAGACUCCUACGGGAGGCAGCAGUGGGGAAUAUUGGACAAUGGGCGCAGGCCUGAUCCAGCCAUGCCGCGUGAGUGAUGAAGGCCUUCGGGUUGUAAAGCUCUUUCGCACACGACGAUGAUGACGGUAGUGUGAGAAGAAGCCCCGGCUAACUUCGUGCCAGCCGCCGCAGUAAAAC
rnacentral:rRNA from 1 species